UAUAAAAAUAACCAGACUUGCCGCGUUUAAAUCCAUCUAGUUUUCCGCCCUUUCAAAUCUCCCUACUAUCAUCCUCACUUGUCAGUUCCAGUCUCCCAAAAUGCAAUUCAAAUUCAAACCCUAGCUGUAAAUUUCAUAAUCCUUUCCAAUUAUCGCGAUUUUCCGCUCAAUCAUGGCCUCAAAUCCCCCGAUUGUUGAAGACACCUGCAACGCCGAGACCGACGAGGAAACCAUAGCUGUCAGGAAGAAGCGUUCGCGGCGCGUGAGCUUCGCUGACCGUGAGAUUACCUCCGUCCACAUCUUCAACCGAGAUGAGGACUAUGAGACCCCUCCAGACUGCUCUGCGAAGGAUCCCAGCUCCGGCAAUGCCGCCGAGGCGGAGAAUGAGGUGCUAGGGUUUUUCAGGGACCUCGCUGAUAGUGAUGAUUCCAAAGAAAUGUCUCCAACCGGAGACGAAGACGAUGAAGACGACAUUGUCAAUGCGAGGAAGUCGUUUUUGAGGCCAGUUGAGUCACCGUCUCCUGGAAGUACUAUUGUUGGUUCUGCUACUUCGAAUGAUGAAGACAACUUUUUUGGGCCUGUAUCAGCAAGUUUUAUCAGACCUGGGCGAUUAUCUGACUCUGCUGCCUCAGAUGAUAAUCAUGAUAUUACAAUGGAUUCCACAGCAUUUUCAAUGCAUUUCCAUAGUCUCGUGAAAUCAGAUUCAGGAGGAAAAACUCUUGAAGAGAAAACACCUUCCCACAUAAGCAGUCCUUCUGAUUCAGGAAGUUUUAUUGUACUAACAAAAGCUAAGAAGCUAAUUCCACAUGUUUCUCUUCCAUUUGAGAAAGUUAGUUGUGGGAGAGAUUCAAGUGACAUGAGUCUUGUUGGAGAAAACCCACACAAUUAUGAUUACGGGAAACUUUCUCCUACACUGGAAGCACUUUUGGCAGAAGGCAGUAAAGAUUUGCAAGAUUCCUCUGUUUCUGAUUCUAACAAUGGAAAAACAUUGAAGAGGAAGCUUUCUACAUUCGAUGAGAAUUUGAGUGGCCACAUAGAUGAAAAAGUUUGCAAGGAUAAAGAAACAAGAAAUAUUGCUAAGCUAGACACAUAUACUGAGGGAGUAUCUGCAGCUUGCAUGGAAUUGGAUGAGGUGAAUGGUAUUUCCUUGAUCACCCUUGUUAAUCAGAGUACUAGUGGUCCCUCAUCUCGUAGUAAUGAAGAUUUGGAAGCUGAUGUAUCUGUUGAUCAGCAAAUGCAAACGCCUAAUCUACUAAGCAAAGUGAAUAAUGACCAUAGUAAAGCUCUGAUUGGGACGAAUAUGCUUAAUAUUGAGUUUAGUGUUGGUGCUCAGAGGAUGAACGGUAAAGUUCCUCAGUUGAAUGUAUUUUCACUACAUGAAUCUAGAAAAACUUCCAUUGAGGGCUGCUUGGAAGAAACAUCUACUAGCAAUAGAAGCGGAAAUUAUGCUGUUUAUCAGAAUUCUGAUCAACAUCAUAGAUCUCCAGCAGUUGAGUCCAUAUCCUCAUUGUCCUCUAAACAGCAGCAAAAUUUUUUGGAUGCUGCUAAAUCCAGUAGACAAUUAUCAUAUAUGACUCCUUCCCCGAAGCAACCAGGUUCUUUUUUUGGCAAGGAAAAUAUAAAGAGUGGUGAGAAUAUUUUGCCCUUUUACAAAACCAGUUCUAAGUUCAAAAUUUUUGAUACCUCUCCUCUUGCCAAUUCGUUGAAAGAUGUAAUUGAAAAAUCAAAACUUAGGUUAUUAAAGCUCCAUUCAUCUACAACUUCUCCCCUAAAUGCUGUUGGUGAAGAAAACAACAAAGACAUUGAGGGCAAAAAUGUGGAUGCCCUGGUUUCUAAUUUAGAAAAGCAUUUAUCUAGUGUUGAUCAGAAGAACAUGGAUCAUGAGAGAACAAACUAUAAGUAUAAUGCUGGUAUAUGGAGCCCAAAGAAUGAUGGCAGUUUGAGUGAAAUGGAGGGCACUAUAAGCCUUGGAGAAGGUGCAGAAUCUCUGAUUCCUAUGUCUUCACAUACUCUUUCUAAGACGAGUGAUACUCAGCUGAUGUCAGAAGUGGCAUCACCUUCUAAGUUCACUUCAUUGCAGAAUAAAGUCAGCCAACACAUUUUGAUGCCAGAGAACUUGCAAAAACAGGUGGUGGUCUUUUAUGGAUCUGAUUCCCCAUCGGUUGAGAUUAAACUGGAACAUGGCAAUGAUGUGAAAACAAGCAGACAACCUGAUGUGUUUGUUUAUCCAGGAAAAAUGUUGGAUCAGAGGCUAGCCUCAUCAACAGAAAAUCACAGUACUGUCCCUCGUGGCCUUCAGAAGAUUGAGCUUGUUAGCAUUGGCUUAGGACAAGUUAAGACUUCAAUAGGUAAUGUUACCAACAAUAGUCAUUCUGCUGCAGUAACCGAUGAAUCAGAAUCCUGGUUUGCUGAAGGGACCAAGCUAUCCACCUCAUCUGUUAUAGAGAUUAAUCAUUUUGGAGACUUUAAUCAAGUGGAAAAGGUGCAUGACGAGCAAAGUUACCCUGCUGAUGUGCAAAAUGAAUGUGAAACCUUACCAGAUGUAAGAACUCCUUCAAGGGAGAUGAGUGCCCUGAAGUUUUUCUCAGGAAGCCCAGAUUGCAAUAUCCCUUGUGCAACUGACCCAAUCUAUUCUAAAGAGGAACUUCCUGGGAAGCGGAAUGAAGCUUCUCUUCCUGCCCCAGAUUCCCUCUACAUUCAUUGGAGAAAUGUGAAUGAGCCAUCAUUGUUGAAGAAAAGAAGUGAAAAAUUAGUGCCUGAUGAAGGAAAUCAUGAAGAUACAAUUAGAAGAAUCAAGAGUAGUCCAAACAUUAAUAGAGGUCAGGGUUCUAAUUUGGAGUUCAUGUUGGCCUGUGCUAGUGGAAGUGAUGAUAAAAGAAAGAUGAUCAGAAGCGACACAAUGAUGAAGCAUUGGAGUGAUAUUUCUACAAAAUUUUCAACUGAUAUGCAGCAGUUGUUCUCUCCAUUUAUAGAUAAACUAAAUAUGAGUUCGAUUGGUGUUCUGCAAGAUAUUUUGGUUCACCUGGAGAAGAUUAAGAUUUAUGAGAUACUCUGUUCCCAAAUACAGCCUCAGAAAGUGAGUGAUCAUUCCAGUGAAGUUAGGCAUAAAAGAGUAGCUGAAACAAAAAUGUUGCUUUAUAAGUUAGUGUAUGAAAGGGCAAGGCAGCAAUUAAAGUCUGUCAAGCAUGAUAAAUUACUGAGAAGAGCACAAGAACUGAGCUUCGCAAUUCAUAGGUCUGAGAUGCUGAAGUCAAAUAGAAGAUUUCUAUUUUCGCCUAGUGACAGGGAUAAUAUAGUUGAUAAUCUUAGAAAUUCAUGCACGUCUAAUUUGGGCAGCAAACAUGAGGUUUGCCGGGAAAAAGUGGCCACGAUGAAGCAUGAGUGUGAAGCUUUAGAUAGGAAAAUAAAGAAUCUAACCAAAUCUUUCCACAAUUACUUGAAAAUGAAGGGAGAAAAAAGCUGUUCUGAGACAAUUGUACUGCUCAAUGAUCAUCUGAAGAAGAAAACCUCUUGCAGGCUUGUACAUGAGGAGUUGCAGUUGUGGGAAGUUGAUGAUUUUGGGAGCAGGAAUGAGAAACAAAAUCUUGUUCUCAACUACCAAGGCUCAAUCUACCAAAGAUUUACAAUAAACGAUGGUCCUAUUCCUAGUAUAUUUGUUUUAAACACAUUGAAUGGCAUCACCAUCACAAAGAACUUCCCUAACAUGGAUGCUUGGUCAGCAUUUGCAUGUGUUCUAAAUGCUAAGAACACAAAGAGGCACAUUGGGUCCAAAAGUUUUGCACAAGAAACACAAAUUACCUGUUCACUACUGCAUAAUCUACUUGAUGUGGUUGCAGAAGUACAAUUAGCACAAUUAGAAAUUAGAAAUUUGGUCCACACAUGCUUUCGUUCUUCCUCUGUUGAGCAGCUGGAUUUGCAGCUUUGUUUCAUUGAUUUUAACAAUGGUAGGAAGGUGAUGGUGACUCUUGACAUGACAUGUUUGAAAUGGUAAAAUUUGCACAACUUAUAUUUUUUUCAUUAUUACUAAAGGUUAUGUAAACUCAAUGUAUCUUAGUAGAGCAAUAUUUUGAACUGAUUAAGUUAUGCACUAAUUCACUGACCUGCCGGCCAGUGUUCGUGUUGCUUAAACUUUUCCAUCUAGGGUAGGUCCUGAUACAGGCAUACCCUUAUCAUUUUGGCAUGAACUGGCAACUGACAGAAGCCUGUGAAGUUUGCAUGUUCUAUGUCAAGGUUCUCACCAUUGCACCGGAUAUUUGCACCUAAUUGCAAAUAUCAUUAGAUAAAUACUUCUGUUAGUCAGUUCUACACUCUAGGAAUCACUUGUACUCAAUUCAACUAAACCAUAAUCUCAAACUAGUUUGCAUCGGCUGCAUGGAUUUUUAUAUUCCAUGCUACCUAAUUUAGGUCUACAUCUCAGAAAGAUCUAGAGUAGCUGAACCUGUUUUCACUACUUCCCCUUACAUCAAUAGGGAUCAUUUAGGUUUACUUUUGUGAACAUAUUAAGCUUAAAAAGUAAUAACUGUUCUCUCUUUUUUUUUUGGCAUGUUUCUUGAGUGCAACACCUACCUUCGAAAUUCAGCCAUUUGACAUGAUGAGUGUGGGUUUUAGCCUCUGAUUACGAUGGAACUUGUUUCUCAUCCUAUGACCAAUAGUAUGUGAUAAGACCAAUUGACUAAUCUGCUGUUGGAUGCGUCAACCUUACAAAGAAGUUGACUUUUGCAAAAUUUGUCACUGUAGUAACAUUUUUAUUUUGCAAGCAUUGUCUUCGUAAGUGGGAUAUAUCCUUCAGACAUCUUUCCAUGUCAGCUACAAGCUUCCGUUUCUGGGACAUACAUCUCACUGCCUGAGUCACUAUCAGCUAAAAUAAAAGCUGCAGUUGAUGGUCUUAGAGUUGGGUAUUCAAGGAUUAUAAGGAUUUGC